CUGCGAAUGGCUCAUUAAAUCAGUUAUCGUUUAUUUGAUAGUACCUUACUACUUGGAUAACCGUGGUAAUUCUAGAGCUAAUACAUGCUGAAAACCCCAACUUCGGGAGGGGUGUAUUUAUUAGAUAAAAAACCAACGCCCUUCGGGGCUUCUUGGUGAUUCAUGAUAACUUUACGGAUCGCAUGGCCUUGCGCCGGCGACGGUUCAUUCAAAUUUCUGCCCUAUCAACUUUCGAUGGUAAGGUAUUGGCUUACCAUGGUUUCAACGGGUAACGGGGAAUUAGGGUUCGAUUCCGGAGAGGGAGCCUGAGAAACGGCUACCACAUCCAAGGAAGGCAGCAGGCGCGCAAAUUACCCAAUCCCGACACGGGGAGGUAGUGACAAUAAAUACUGAUACAGGGCUCUUUUGGGUCUUGUAAUUGGAAUGAGUACAAUUUAAACCUCUUAACGAGGAACAAUUGGAGGGCAAGUCUGGUGCCAGCAGCCGCGGUAAUUCCAGCUCCAAUAGCGUAUAUUAAAGUUGUUGCAGUUAAAAAGCUCGUAGUUGAACCUUGGGUCUGGCUGGCAGGUCCGCCUCACCGCGUGUACUUGUCCGGCCGGGCCUUCCUUCUGGAGAACCUCAUGCCCUUCACUGGGCGUGUUGGGGACCAGGACUUUUACUUUGAAAAAAUUAGAGUGUUCAAAGCAGGCCUUUGCUCGAAUACGUUAGCAUGGAAUAAUAGAAUAGGACGUGCGGUCCUAUUUUGUUGGUUUCUAGGACCGCCGUAAUGAUUAAUAGGGACAGUCGGGGGCAUCAGUAUUCAAUUGUCAGAGGUGAAAUUCUUGGAUUUAUUGAAGACUAACUACUGCGAAAGCAUUUGCCAAGGAUGUUUUCAUUAAUCAGUGAACGAAAGUUAGGGGAUCGAAGACGAUCAGAUACCGUCGUAGUCUUAACCGUAAACUAUGCCGACUAGGGAUCGGGCGAUGUUCUUUUUCUGACUCGCUCGGCACCUUACGAGAAAUCAAAGUUUUUGGGUUCUGGGGGGAAUAUGGUCGCAAGGCUGAAAUUAAGAGA
rnacentral:rRNA from 1 species